rnacentral:lncRNA from 1 species
UUGGAUAUCAAAAUUUAUUUUAAAAUAUUAUUAGAUUGGAUUUAGGUUGCUAUAGAUCCACACAUAAAAUCCGAAACACGAUCCAAUGAUCUGUAUGCAUACAAGCUGGAAGAUAAGGGCAUGAUAUUAAGCUUGCCACGAAUAAACUAGUACUCCAGGCAACCUCAUGCAUAAGCCCUAAGUCUCACUAGUGAUUCGAUGAGUUGAAUCCUUGAGGCACUGAAAGUAAUAAAUAAGAUCAGGGGCAGAUGUCUUAUCCCUGUUAGAUAUUCUAUUUGGGAUGCUAAAGUAGUAGAGAAUACGGGCACUUAAGGAUUUGACCUUUGACCAAUGAUUUUGUAAUGAGAUGGUGUUUUGUUGAGGAAUACAUAGCAAUAGUGGGCAGUACGUAAAAGAAAAGGAAGAGAGUGAAAAAAGAUAAGCCAUGAUCUCUUU